rnacentral:rRNA from 1 species
GACGAACGCUGGCGGCGUGCUUAACACAUGCAAGUCGAACGGAAAGGCCCUGCUUUUGUGGGGUGCUCGAGUGGCGAACGGGUGAGUAACACGUGAGUAACCUGCCCUUGACUUUGGGAUAACUUCAGGAAACUGGGGCUAAUACCGGAUAGGAGCUCCUGCUGCAUGGUGGGGGUUGGAAAGUUUCGGCGGUUGGGGAUGGACUCGCGGCUUAUCAGCUUGUUGGUGGGGUAGUGGCUUACCAAGGCUUUGACGGGUAGCCGGCCUGAGAGGGUGACCGGCCACAUUGGGACUGAGAUACGGCCCAGACUCCUACGGGAGGCAGCAGUGGGGAAGAUUGCACAAUGGGCGGAGGGCUGAUGAAGCAACGCCGCGUGCGGUAUGACGGCCUUCGGGUUGUAAACCGCUUUCGCCUGAGACGAAGCGUGAGUGACGGUAAUGGGUAAAGAAGCACCGGCUAACUACGUG